GGCCCCAUCGUCUAGCUCGGUCUAGGACGUCAGAUUCUCGAUCUGAAGACACCGGUUCAAAUCCGGUUGGGGCUACCA
rnacentral:tRNA from 1 species